rnacentral:rRNA from 1 species
UAAUACGUAGGUGGCAAGCGUUGUCCGGAAUUAUUGGGCGUAAAGCGCAUGUAGGCGGUAAUUUAAGUCUGUCGUGAAACUGCGGGGCUCAGCCCCGUAUGGCGAUGGAAACUGGGUUACUUGAGUGCAGGAGAGGAAAGGGGAACUCCCAGUGUAGCGGUGAAAUGCGUAGAUAUUGGGAAGAACACCGGUGGCGAAGGCGCCUUUCUGGACUGUGUCUGACGCUGAGAUGCGAAAGCCAGGGUAGCGAACGGGAUUAGAUACCCCGGUAGUCCUGGCCGUAAACGAUGGGUACUAGGUGUGGGAGGUAUCGACCCCUUCCGUGCCGGAGUUAACGCAAUAAGUACCCCGCCUGGGGAGUACGGCCGCAAGGCUUAAACUCAAAGGAAUUGACGGGGGCCCGCACAAGCGGUGGAGUAUGUGGUUUAAUUCGACGCAACGCGAAGAACCUUACAGGGCUUGACAUCGACUGAAAGAUGCAGAGAUGUAUCCCUCUCUUCGGAGACAGGAAGACAGGUGGUGCAUGGCUUGUCGUCAGCUCGUGUCGUGAGAUGUUGGGU